rnacentral:misc_RNA from 1 species
CUUUGGUAUACCCAACCAGUGGCAGACAUAGAAUCUAUACCUAAGGGAGGAGUGUGAGUUGGCAGGUCUAUUGUCUUUCAAUUCAAGGGAUAACGAUGCUAAUGAGAAGAAUAUUGUUAUGAAACCAGAUGCAAUGACUAGUUAAUAGAUGAUAUUUUCUUCUCUCUUUAAAUGUCAGCCAUGGAUCAGCCUUCAUGUCUAUUUAAUUUAAUUCACCUUCUUCAUCUAAGGGAAAACCAUCCAUGUCUGGAUUAAAGGAAUGAAAAGUUUCAGAUACCCAUGCAAAAAGUUUAUGUCAACACUGCAAUAUGGCUUGGAUUAAAGAAGAGCCUAAGUGCUUGCCUUAAUAGAAAAUAUGGACGCAUAAGGUCUUCGAGAUGAUUUAGGCUACAUAUCAAAUGCUUUGACAGUUUGCAAUCUGGAACUUGAAUAUCACAGAUGGACAUUACCUUUGCUUGCUAAGCUCAUAUUUGAGAAACUGGAGUACAUAGACUAGACAUUUGUAGAUGAGGUCUGAUUAGGUGGCCUGGUUUCGGAGUCUGCCCUUCUGCCUCUUUCACUUCUACUGUUAUCAGCAAAUUUUAAGCUUGCCUGAUGUAAUCCUUGCUCCUUCUCCUUUGAAUUCCAUUCAGACAUGUAAUAGUCUUCUUCUGUAGCAAUCUUUUUAGAUGAUGGUCCACAAAACAUUCCACCCCAUUGUGGGAAGUAUAUUAGACAUAUUGGUAGAGUGCAGCAUAUAAUCAUGAUACCCAUGAGUGUUAUACCCCUUUCUUUGGAGUAUCUGGAUCCUUUGAAGAAAAUUAGCUGUGUAAGAACUGCACCCACAUUUCCACCACCUCCUGUCAUACCAGAUAUUAGCCCUAAUGACCUCCUAGAGACAAAAGGAACCACACCAAACGUUAGCCCACAUGCCGCUUGGCAGAAGAAAGAGAAAGCAAUCAUCACUGCGAUGGAUGCAGUUAAGGAUCCCACUCGUCCAAGAAUGAUGCAGAGUACACCUCCUAAUGUCUGCACUAUCCACAAAGCCCACAACCUACCCCUCAUUCCAAACCUCGUUGCCACUACAUCUGAAAUCAGUCCUCCAGCUGGUCUAGAAACGAUAUUUGCUAAUCCAAAACUUGCUGCAAUAAUUCCUGCUGUGUGUAGUUUCAGAUCAAAUCUAUCGUAAAAAUAUUCUGCUAUUAUAUUGUCAAUUGUCAGCUCCACCCCAAAACAGUACCCGUAAGUUAAUGCCAGGAUCCACCCUCUGUAAUUUGUAACCCCAUGAUAGAAGACGUUUGAGAAUUUAUCUUUGGCUUUAUCACCUGAUUUCUGUAGCCUCCUGAAGUUCCCAUCUGGCAGAUCCUGGCCAAAGAUCAAUACUGCAAAUGCUGAUAACAUUUGAAACAGGGCAGGGACGAAAAAUGCAAUUCUCCAAGCUGUAAAUUUCGCUGCUCCGAUGUCGCGGAUUAGGCCAAACACAAGGGGCAUAAUCAGCUGUGUUGCUCCACCACCAAGGUUGCCCCAGCCACCUGCAACGCCAUUAGCGGUGCCAACUACUGGGGCUGAAAACAUGGAGCUCAUCCAGAAUUGAGUUGAGACAAAAGUGGCAAGGGAGAAGCCCACGAAAAAACGUACGAGGAGAAAAGAAACAGGUGAUGAGACAACGGAAGUGAAGUAGACCGCUGGUGCUGUAAGGAGUAUCAGUGAAGCAGAGGCAAUACGGGGUCCAAAAAGGUCACAGGCAGUCCCCAUGGCAAUUCUCGCAAAGACAGCACCAGAGACGGAAGCAAUACCUGCAUUGCCAAUGUCUGUGGCUGUGAGAUUGAGGUUGUCACGUAUUAUGGGAAGGAGAGGUGGAGCAGCAAAAGUGGACACAAAACAAGAGAAGAAAGACACCCAAGACAAAUGAAAUGCCCGCAUGUGGGGAGCUGCUAUAGAGAAUAACCGGAAUUCAGUUGCCUUGUGCUCUGAGUCCACAGGAAGAGCAAAUUUUUGAGUCUGAAAUCCCGUCCCAGUAGUUUCCACUUCCAUGUUCCUAUCCUUUGGUGGGGCUAAAAGAAGCGGAAUCGUUUAAGCUAAUAAAAUUUUGGGCUCUCUCUCUUUUUUUCCUCCAAGCUAACAGUAAUUGAUUAAUGCCUGUUCCUCUUUGUGCAGGAAAGAAGAUGAGAGUGACUAGCUCCUGGUAAAGAUGCCUUAAAAUACCAUGCGUAAUUAUUAGAAUCUUUUCUGCUUUCUAUCUAUCAAACUAGGAUGUAGUCAAUAAAGAAGAAGGGAAAAUAUGCAACUUUAUAGAUCGACUGAAGGCGGGUGGCUUACAAAGAGAUCCAAGGAAGCUGUUUUUGCAGUAUGAGAUUUCCACAUGCUUGAAAGAUUUUCCAUGUGUGACUUGGAGGAUAGUGUAGCUCUUUAGAAGAUAGAAAGACAAGGUUAAUUUGGAGCUUCACUUCCGCCGAGUCUCAUGCCAGCGAAGCAAAGAAAUGAG